UACGUAGGGUGCAAGCGUUGUCCGGAAUCAUUGGGCGUAAAGCGCGCGUAGGUGGUCAUGUAAGUCCGCUGUGAAAGUCAAAGGCUCAACCUUUGAAAGCCGGUGGAUACUGCAUGACUAGAGUACGGAAGAGGCGAGUGGAAUUCCUGGUGUAGCGGUGGAAUGCGCAGAUAUCAGGAGGAACACCAACGGCGAAGGCAGCACUCUGGGCCGGUACUGACGCUGAGGAGCGAAAGCGUGGGGGAGCAAACAGG
rnacentral:rRNA from 1 species